GAAGGCUGUCCACACCAGACAGACCUAUCUGGCGGUCUUCCAAAUGGUAGCCGUGAGGAAAAAGUUACUCCGAGACCAGUGGGCUGAGGUCGUCGCUCCGUUCCUGGCGUCUGGUCCCCAGCAAGUAUUUUUUGAUCUCCCCGAUGUUCAAG